rnacentral:rRNA from 1 species
AGGCAAGCGGGAAUUCCUAGUGUAGCGGUGAAAUGCGUAGAUAUUUAGGAGAACAUCAGUGGCGAAGACGGCGUGCUGGACGAUGACUGACGUUGAGGCUCGAAAGCGUGGGGAGCAAAACAAGGAUUAGAUACCCUGGUAGUCACGCCGUAAACGAUGAGUACUAGGUGUCGGGUGGGCAAAGACAUACGGUGCCGCAGCCAACGCAAUAAGUAGUCCACCUGGGGAGUACGUUCGCAAGAAUGAAACUCAAAGGAAUUGACGGGGACCCGCACAAGCGGUGGAGCAUGUGGUUUAAUUUGAAGCAACGCGAAGAACCUUACCUGAUCUUGACAUCCCCCUGACAGCUUCGUAAUGGGAGUUUUCCUUCGGGACAGGGGAGACAGGUGGUGCAUGGUUGUCGUCAGCUCGUGUCGUGAGAUGUUGGGUUAAGUCCCGCAACGAGCGCAACCCUUAUUUUCAGUAGCCAGCAUUAAGGAUGGGCACUCUGGAGAGACUGCCAGGGACAACCUGGAGGAAGGUGGGGAUGACGUCAAAUCAUCAUGCCCCUUAUGACCUGGGCUACACACGUGCUACAAUGGCGUAAACAAAGGGAAGCGAACACGUGAGUGCAAGCGAAUCCCAAAAAUAACGUCUCAGUUCGGAUUGUAGUCUGCAACUCGACUACAUGAAGCUGGAAUCGCUAGUAAUCGCGAAUCAGAAUGUCGCGGUGAAUACGUUCCCGGGUCUUGUACACACCGCCCGUCA